rnacentral:lncRNA from 1 species
ACAUCUUUACCCACUUUAACUCAUCAAGCAAAGAACUUGUAAUACGCUGAAUGCUGCAUAGAAGGUUUUGAAACUACUUACCUGCUGUGGAACACCUGUAUAACUUUAAAAUGCAUCAAUCAAUCUCGAGAGUAUGAUCAUGCUUCCUGCUUUUAAGGAUCUGAAGUUAACUGCAACUCCAAGUAUACAAGACUUCUUUGGGACCCAUGGAAGCAUCUCUACAUGCUCAUGUUUGCCAGAUUCAGUGGCCUCCUGAAACCUGGCCCUAGCUAAUAAGUUAAAAAGCUCUAAGUAAUCCCGAGCUGCAUUUGAAUCUCCAAGAUCACUUGUUCAUGGGUUGGUAAUACUUUAAAGAGCCAUUUGUUUAACUGCUAAUCUGGAUCUUAUAUUCUGAGCCCCAGCUUUUUUCUAAAGCAAAGAAAAUACAAAAUAAAAGUAAGACCAAA